UACAGAGGUCUCGAGCGUUGUUCGGAUUCAUUGGGCGUAAAGGGUGCGUAGGCGGCGCGGUAAGUCGGGUGUGAAAUCUCGGAGCUUAACUCCGAAACUGCAUUCGAUACUGCCGUGCUUGAGGACUGGAGAGGAGACUGGAAUUUACGGUGUAGCGGUGAAAUGCGUAGAUAUCUGAAGGAACAUCAGUGGCGAAAGCGACUUCCUGGACCAAUACUGACGCUCAUGUGCGAAAGCGUGGGGAGCAAACAGG
rnacentral:rRNA from 1 species